UACGUAGGGGGCAAGCGUUGUCCGGAAUCAUUGGGCGUAAAGAGCGUGUAGGCGGCUCGGUAAGUCCGCUGUGAAAGUCCAGGGCUCAACCCUGGAAUGCCGGUGGAAACUGUCGGGCUAGAGUCCGGAAGAGGCGAGUGGAAUUCCUGGUGUAGCGGUGAAAUGCGCAGAUAUCAGGAGGAACACCAAUGGCGAAGGCAGCUCGCUGGGCUCUACCUGACGCUGAGGCGCGAAAGCGUGGGGAGCGAACCGG
rnacentral:rRNA from 1 species